rnacentral:tRNA from 1 species
AGUUUUAUAUUUUAAAUAAAAAUGUUAAAUUGCAAGUUUAAAGAUAUAUUAUUAAUAAUUUAAUAUUAAAACUU